GAUUUAACAUACAUGUAUUCUUUGAUUAAGUGGUUCCAUUGUUCAGAGAUCAAGAAUGAAAUUAAUAUAUUCCUUUAAUAGCUAACUGGGGCUUUUAAAAGGUGGUUUUGAUGAUGCCAAAUAAACAUUUGGAAGAUGUUCCUCUUUAUUUGUGUUUCCACAGAUCAUUAACUGAAGACGAAAUAAACAACUAUGCAAAAUUCUCACAUGGAUGAGUACAGAAAUUCUAGUAAUGGCAGCACAGGCAACAGUUCAGAGGUAGUGGUAGAACAGUCUGCUGAUUUCAGUACUGAGAUUAUGAAUGUUACGGAAAUGGAACAGUCCCCUGAUGGAUCUCCUAAUGUGAAUGCAACUACAGAAGAAAAUGAAAUAACAAAUGCUGUGGACCUUCCAGUGACAGAAACGGAAGCAAAUUUCCCUCCAGAAUAUGAAAAAUUCUGGAAAACUGUAGAAAACAAUCCUCAGGAUUUUACAGGCUGGGUAUAUUUGCUUCAGUAUGUAGAACAGGAGAAUCACUUGAUGGCUGCCAGGAAAGCAUUUGACAAAUUUUUCAUACACUAUCCGUAUUGCUAUGGUUACUGGAAAAAGUAUGCAGACCUUGAAAAGCGGCAUGACAACAUUAAACAAUCAGAUGAGGUGCGUACAUUACUGAAUAAAAUUAUCUCCAUUAGGUACUGUAAGCCAAAUAAUAACGAAACAAAAACUUUUUUUUUUUUUUUUUUGGCUGGCAGUACCUACGAUUUAUGGUCAAACAAUUUUAUAGGGUAUUUUAUUUGCAUUUGUCACUCUUGUGGCAUUUGUAGCUAAUAUUUUCUCUCUUUGUUGGCAGGUGCGUUAAACCUCUACAGUUUGUCAAGCUUUGCAGUGCAAGCCUCUGUAUUACACUGCAGCUUAACAAACGCUGUCAUUGAUGCUCUAAUGGGUCUGUGCCCUAUGGUCUGUAACCCAAAGCCUGCCCACACAACCCGGUCAGAAUGCAGGGACUGCUGCGCUUUGAAGAUCAAGACUCUGCACGUGGGGAUCAGAACAUUGCCAUGUUCUAUCCAACCUCCACCCAAAUGGUAAUGGUAGAUUAUUUAAACAAAAUUCCAGUAAUUAGUAUUUCUAAGGUUCACCGGAUAACACAGUGUUGCCUCUCUGUUAAGAAAUAAUUAAAUAUUUGAAGUACAGUUUGUUGUUUUCUUCUUAGGUGUAUCGUCGGGGGCUUCAGGCAAUACCUCUUAGUGUUGACCUAUGGAUACAUUAUAUAAACUUCUUAAAAGAAACAUUGGACCCUGGUGAAUCUGAGACAAAUAGUACAAUAAGAGGGUAUGCUAAACAUUGAUAUUUUCAAAUGCCUUCGAAGUAGAAAUAAGU